GCGUGAGUNAAGAAGGUUUUANGAUCGUAAAGAUCUGUUGUAAGAGAAGAACGAGUGUGAGAGUGGAAAGUUCACACUGUGACGGUAUCUUAACAGAAAGGGACGACUAACUACGUGCCAGCAGCCGCGGUAAUACGUAGGUCCCGAGCGUUGUCCGGAUUUAUUGGGCGUAAAGCGAGCGCAGGCGGGUUAGAUAAGUC
rnacentral:rRNA from 1 species